UACGUAGGGUGCAAGCGUUGUCCGGAAUUAUUGGGCGUAAAGAGCGUGUAGGCGGCCCCGUUAGUCCGCUGUGAAAGUCCAGGGCUCAACCCUGGAAUGCCGGUGGAUACUGUCGGACUAGAGUGCGGAAGAGGCGAGUGGAAUUCCUGGUGUAGCGGUGAAAUGCGCAGAUAUCAGGAGGAACACCAAUUGCGAAGGCAGCUCGCUGGGACGUUACUGACGCUGAGACGCGAAAGCGUGGGGAGCAAACAGG
rnacentral:rRNA from 1 species